GACGAACGCUGGCGGCGUGCCUAAUACAUGCAAGUAGAACGCUGAAGGAGGAGCUUGCUUCUCUGGAUGAGUUGCGAACGGGUGAGUAACGCGUAGGUAACCUGCCUGGUAGCGGGGGAUAACUAUUGGAAACGAUAGCUAAUACCGCAUAAUAGUAGAUGUUGCAUGACAUUUGCUUAAAAGGUGCAAUUGCAUCACUACCAGAUGGACCUGCGUUGUAUUAGAUAGUUGGUGGGGUAACGGCUCACCAAGGCGACGAUACAUAGCCGACCUGAGAGGGUGAUCGGCCACACUGGGACUGAGACACGGCCCAGACUCCUACGGGAGGCAGCAGUAGGGAAUCUUCGGCAAUGGACGGAAGUCUGACCGAGCAACGCCGCGUGAGUGAAGAAGGUUUUCGGAUCGUAAAGCUCUGUUGUAAGAGAAGAACGAGUGUGAGAGUGGAAAGUUCACACUGUGACGGUAUCUUACCAGAAAGGGACGGCUAACUACGUG
rnacentral:rRNA from 1 species